UUAACCUACGGGGGGCAGCAGUGGGGGAUAUUGCACAAUGGGGGGAACCCUGAUGCAGCGACGCCGCGUGGGUGAAGAAGCGCCUCGGCGCGUAAAGCCCUGUCAGCAGGGAAGAAAAUGACGGUACCUGAAGAAGAAGCCCCGGCUAACUACGUGCCAGCAGCCGCGGUAAUACGUAGGGGGGCAAGCGUUAUCCGGAUUUACUGGUUGUAAAGGGGGCGCAGACGGCGAUGCAAGCCAGGAGUGAAAGCACGGGGCCCAACCCCGGGACUGCUCUUGGGACUGCGUGCCUGGAGUGAGGGCGG
rnacentral:rRNA from 1 species